UGGGGAAUUUUGGACAAUGGGCGCAAGCCUGAUCCAGCCAUGCCGCGUGCAGGAUGAAGGCCUCGGGUUGUAAACUGCUUUUGUACGGAACGAAAAGACUCUGGUUAAUACCUGGGUCCAUGACGGUACCGUAAGAAUAAGCACCGGCUAACUACGUGCC
rnacentral:rRNA from 1 species